GAAGGAUACAACAGAGGGAGUUACACAUGGAUGACAACAGUUAUCUCUUAAUGGUGAUCACCUCUGGGAACAAGGUCUCCAUUUAGUCAUUUUUCUCUCCUCUCUUCUGGCUACAGGGCUCUGCUGACCUUCAGCUGCCACAUGUCACAGGAAAGGCUCCUACAGGAAGGAAAAUGAGUCCUCCCAUCGUCACAUAAAUUCUCAUGGGGCUUCCCUCUUCAAGUUUAUGACAGUCAGGAGUUGAGCCUGGAGCUCUGAGAGAAACAGCCACACACUGAUUUAUGAUGGCAGCUGCUGCUAAAUUUCACCCCUCUUUCCUUCUUACAGAGCCAUGUUACCUUGGGGUUACAAAAUUCUUUUCACUGUUAUUCAGGGGAAUAAUAAUAAAGUGCCAGGUUGCAAGUAUAAACAUGAUCAUUCUGUGCCCAUUAUUGUAAAUCAAAUUUUACCUUGCAUCAGAAGCACAAAAAAUAUCUUACACUGUCAGCAACCUCAAGCCUGGG
rnacentral:lncRNA from 1 species